rnacentral:rRNA from 1 species
GUGUCAGCAGCCGCGGUAAUACGGAGGAUGCAAGCGUUAUCCGGAAUGAUUGGGCGUAAAGGGUCCGCAGGUGGCAAUGUAAGUCUGCUGUUAAAGAGUCUAGCUCAACUAGAUAAAGGCGGUGGAAACUACAUAGCUAGAGUACGUUCGGGGCAGAAGGAAUUCCUGGUGUAGCGGUGAAAUGCGUAGAUAUCAGGAAGAACACCGGUGGCGAAAGCGUUCUGCUAGGCCGUAACUGACACUGAGGGACGAAAGCUAGGGGAGCGAAUGGGAUUAGAUACCCCCGUAGUCC